GGCACUCUAAUGAGACUGCCGGUGACAAACCGGAGGAAGGUGGGGAUGACGUCAAGUCCUCAUGGCCCUUAUAGGUGGGGCUACACACGUCAUACAAUGGCUGGUACAAAGGGUUGCCAACCCGCGAGGGGGAGCUAAUCCCAUAAAACCAGUCGUAGUCCGGAUCGCAGUCUGCAACUCGACUGCGUGAAGUCGGAAUCGCUAGUAAUCGUGGAUCAGAAUGUCCCGGUGAAUACGUUCCC
rnacentral:rRNA from 1 species